rnacentral:tRNA from 1 species
UCCACAGUGGCUCAAUGGAAGAGCGGGCGGCUGUUAACCGCCAGGUUGGGGGUUCGAGUCCCUCCUGUGGAG